AGAAAAGAAUAUAGGAGGAGUUAUGGUAUCCCUGACAGUUUUCAAAGUGAAACUAAAAACUGGAAGCCUUGGAGCCAGAUUAUUUGGGACAUCAAAAGUUCUGUGAGCACAGUUGAUACGCACUCACAGAGACAUAUAAGACAUGCUGCUCUUGAGAUUAUGAGAACUCUGAACAAGAAAGAAGUGAUCCAGAAACAAGUCAGAUCUGUUAGUCUGUGAACUCCACAACUGAACUGAAGAGAAGAGGAUAUGGCAGGAUAUUACCAACAUCGCUAAACCCAGGAGAGCUCAGGAGACGAAGUCUGGAGGCACCUCCAUGUCAGUAAACCAAAGAAGGAAUUAUUGAA